UUCUGAGGGCUGCGUUUGGGUUCUGUAGCGUGGCAGAGGCUGCAAGGAGAGCAAGCCCUGAAUUAAUGCAGUAUUCAGUGGAAAAAUAUGAUUGCAAACUCCUCUAUCACAGAAGAGAUUUUCAUUACAUGAAGAAAGAAUGUACAAACGUGGGGAAACUGCGUCUGAUACGCAAGCUUCGCAUUCAUUAACUCACAGUGUUUUAUCUGGGGAGCAGUACAGAUCGCUGCAUGUUAGUGGGUGCACCGAAACAUCCCUAACUUGGGAACUCUUUCCCAGAACGGCAUUAAGAAAUUUCCCUCUGACACACGGAGCUUUUGCAACUGGAACACCGAGUGCAAUGCCUAAUGAGGUGGCAGUGGAGACCCAGCAGAAGAGAGACAUCAGGGUGCUGGAAUUCAGUGUACAGUGCAGUACAGUCUUCUGAGUGUCUGAGUACGAAGAGAGAAGCAGUGAAGUAGAAACAAGGACAAGCAGACACCACAGGUACUUUCACAUCUAUUUGCGUAUCCAUGGACUACAGCGUUGAGUCAGAAGUAUCUUUGUAUUUUUUGGUGUUUCAGAGCAAUCAGUUUCUUUUCAGCCCAUUCUGUAACUUAGAAGCGUUGAAAUCUCUACUAGAAAUAAAACUGGGAAACAAAA